CAGUAGCCGCGGGAAUACAGAGGGUGCGAGCGUUAAUCGGAUUUACUGGGCGUAAAGCGUGCGUAGGCGGCUAAUUGAGUCGGAUGUGAAAUCCCCGAGCUUAACUUGGGAAUUGCAUUCGAUACUGGUUAGCUAGAGUGUGGGAGAGGAUGGUAGAAUUCCAGGUGUAGCGGUGAAAUGCGUAGAGAUCUGGAGGAAUACCGAUGGCGAAGGCAGCCAUCUGGCCUAACACUGACGCUGAGGUACGAAAGCAUGGGGAGCAAACAGGAUUAGAUACCCCGGUAGUCCCUGUCUCUUAUAA
rnacentral:rRNA from 1 species